UGGCUCAGAUUGAACGCUGGCGGCAGGCCUAACACAUGCAAGUCGAACGGUAGCAGGAUGUGCUUGCACAUCGCUGACGAGUGGCGGACGGGUGAGUAAUGCUUGGGAACUUGCCUUUGCGAGGGGGAUAACAGUUGGAAACGACUGCUAAUACCGCAUAACGUCUUCGGACCAAACGGGGCUUAGGCUCCGGCGCAGAGAGAGGCCCAAGUGAGAUUAGCUAGUUGGUGGGGUAAAGGCUCACCAAGGCAACGAUCUCUAGCUGUUCUGAGAGGAAGAUCAGCCACACUGGGACUGAGACACGGCCCAGACUCCUACGGGAGGCAGCAGUGGGGAAUAUUGCACAAUGGGGGAAACCCUGAUGCAGCCAUGCCGCGUGUGUGAAGAAGGCCUUCGGGUUGUAAAGCACUUUCAGUUGUGAGGAAAAGUUAGUAGUU
rnacentral:rRNA from 1 species